CAGCUGAUAGUUUAUUUAAAAUUUUAAUUUUGGAUAUUAAAGAUAUGAGGUUGUUUAGCUGA
rnacentral:tRNA from 1 species